ensembl:lncRNA
GGCUGGUUGAUCACUAAGUGGGACAAGUUCUUAUGUCCAAGAGAUGAUGAGCACAUUAAGAUUGUUUAAGUCUGUGGGUGUGCUCUCUGUGAUGGACCCAGUGAUCACCUAUGUUUUAUCAGGAUGAUGUGUUCAGUGAAGCAGCACCUAUCCAGGGUCCCAGCUCCAGUGGGUAAGGAGUGGUGUUUUGAGUUUUCGGUGGGAGUGGAUUGCAGUGAUCCAGAGCCUCGCUGCAUAUGGUUGGUAAUUCUUAGGAAUGCUGUUGCCCGACCCUGCCAUGCCCUCGAGGUCUCUGGAACUGGCACAAUGCACUGGGAACUGAAAAUGGCUAAAUGGCACAAAGAUGGAGGAUUGUCAUCUAGUCAGAACACUCACUGUGCGUUAGGCAAGGGCGUGGCCUGGAAGGGUCCUCGCACAGUGGUGCUGCAGAAGAACUCUCAGGGCUUCGGUUUCACAUUACGGCACUUCAUAGUCUAUCCACCGGAGUCUGCCCUCCACACUAACCUGAAGGUAACAAAAAACCCUUAAAGAUGAAAAUUUACAAUUUUAAUUAAGUUGAUAUUGAAGUCCAUGUUUGCUUCUCAAGUAAAUAUUUACAUUUUUUCCACGUAAACAAGACAAAUAUACUUUGUUUUCCAGUAAAAUAUCUUCUUAUAAGUAUAUGCAUUUGCAUUUACAACAUUACAUAAAAUAUUAUGGCUUGUUUUUAGAUAGAUAGAUAGAUAGAUAGAUAGAUAGUUUAUUUGUCCUCAGAGAGGAAAUUCAUUUUCACAGAGGGUGCGUAUAUAACACCAAGACAGCUGAUCACAAUACAAUCAAAAACAGUCACAUCAUAUCACAUCAAAUCACAAAUGCAUAAGCUUAAGACAAUGGUUGAUUUCUUAUGUGUUUAAAACACAUAUAGCUGUAGGAGCAAAACUCUUUCUAUACUUAGUCUUCCUACACCUACGGCCAGAUGGAAGGGGAAUGAAAUACUGAUGGAGUGGGUGAUCUGGAUAAUUUAGGAUUGCAUAUGCUUUCUGAAUUGUAGCUAAAGUCAAGUCAAGUCACCUUUAUUUAUAUAGCGCUUUAAACAAAAAAGAUUGCAUCAAAGCAACUGAACAACAUUAAUUAGGAAAACAGUGUGUCAGUAAUGCAAAAUGACAGUUAAAGGCAGUUCAUCAUUGAAUUCAGUGAUGUCAUCAUGCAGCUCAGUUCAGUUUAAAUCGUAUCUGUGCAAUAAUUUGCAAUCAAGUCAACGAUAUCGCUGUAAAUGAAGUGUCCCCAACUAAGCAAGCCAGAGGCGACAGCGGCAAGGAACCAAAACUCCAUCGGUGACAGAAUGGAGAAAAAACCUUGGGAGAAACCAG